CACUUACUCCCUCCGUUCCAUAAUUCAUGUCUCAAAUUUGACCAAAAAAGGAUGUAUCUAUCCCUAAAAAGUGUCUAGAUACAUCUAAUAUUUCGACAAGAAUUAUGAAACGGAGGUAAUAUUUU
rfam:Brachypodium distachyon strain Bd21 chromosome 2, whole genome shotgun sequence.